rnacentral:lncRNA from 1 species
AGAAGGUGAAGCACGUGUCAUGGACAUAAUGUUACACAUCCAGUUAUGGCGACUGACGUGGAGCUGACAAGUGCCUGCUUGUGAAAACCAGAGUUUGCUUCCCAAGGCUAAGCUGGUGGCUCACCACUGUGAGUUUCAGAUCUGAUUCUAGAGCACUUGAGACGCACACACCACAGUGAAUCCUCAGUCAUCCUGCACAGUCAUCAAGCAGUCUCCCCUCUUCCUGACUAUAUCAACUUUCUCAAGGAAAUUCAAGGUGAGCACAUUUUCUAAGUGGGAAAAGAACCAGAUAAAGAACCGCCAGCCCAGGAGGCAGCUCGGUGGGUAC